GACCUCCUUUCCAGAUGCCUGAAGGAGACGGGUGCUACGGCAAGAACGGCAAUCACGCCGACCCUGGAGCCCAGACCCAAUACACAGUAGCCCUGCAGGUCUUCUCAGUCGGGCCCUGGGUGUGCACACGGAAGAUAUACUUUCUGCCCUUGAGAAGCUUCUGAUUCCACGGGGAGAAUAAACAAAUGGGGGAACUGAGGAUUCAAGGCAUUUGGUGCAACUUGCCCAAGACCACAGACCUGGUAAGUGAUGCCAGAUGAGACAUCUACCUCUCUCUGGCUUUAUCCCUCUAUCC